ACGGCUCAGUAACACGUGGACAAUCUGCCCUGAAGUGGAGAAUAAUCCCGGGAAACUGGGGGUAAUACUCCAUAGUUCGUUAUUACUGGAAUGUUUUUCGAACGAAAGAUCCGUCGCUUCAGGAUGAGUCUGCGGCCGAUUAGGUAGUUGUUGGGGUAAUUGCCCAACAAGCCUGUAAUCGGUACGGGUUGUGGGAGCAAGAGCCCGGAGAUGGAUUCUGAGACACGAAUCCAGGCCCUACGGGGCGCAGCAGGCGCGAAAACUUUACAAUGCUGGCAACAGCGAUAAGGGAACCUCGAGUGCCGGGUUACAAAUCUGGCUGUCGAGAUGCCUAAAAAGCAUUUCAUAGCAAGGGCCGGGCAAGACCGGUGCCAGCCGCCGCGGUAACACCGGCGGCUCGAGUGGUAACCGUUAUUAUUGGGUCUAAAGGGUCUGUAGCCGGCCGGAUAAGUCUCUUGAGAAAUCUGGCAGCUUAACUGUCAGGCUUUCAGGAGAUACUGUCUGGCUCGAGGCCGGGAGAGGUGAGAGGUACUUCAGGGGUAGGGGUGAAAUCUUGUAAUCCUUGAAGGACCACCAGUGGCGAAGGCGUCUCACCAGAACGGACCUGACGGCAAGGGACGAAAGCUAGGGGCACGAACCGGAUUAGAUACCCGGGUAGUCCUAGCCGUAAACGAUACUCGCUAGGUGUCGGCCACGGUGCGACCGUUGUCGGUGCCGUAGGGAAGCCGUGAAGCGAGCCACCUGGGAAGUACGGCCGCAAGGCUGAAACUUAAAGGAAUUGGCGGGGGAGCAC
rnacentral:rRNA from 1 species